AUUUACAAUUUUGAAAGAAGAGCAAAAUUCCAUUGUCAAUUCUAUUGUAAAUGUGUCUCUGUUCUUUAUAGAUAAGGUCCACAGUCUCACCACCAUUAGAGAAGACUUCAAUCAAAACAAGUUGAGUUGAAGACCUCAGGAGGGAUGAGAACAUUUCUGAAGGAGUCCUUAAGAAUUUGGAAUCACCAAUGUCUUGCAGUUAUUUGGUGGAUGUUCCGAUGUCUGACAGGUGGCUUUGUGGGAUAAAUAAAAUUUUAAAUGGGAAAUGCAGGUUAUACAUUUCCAAAAAUAUUUUUGUGUAAAAGAUUAACAUACAGAAGAUGAAUAAAGAGAAUUCUUGUAGUGUUAAUGUGGUUAAUGACUUGAUUUAUCAGAUUCUUUCAAUGCAUCACUGUUCAUCUGAGACCACUGUACUUAAAAUACCCCUGAGUUAAAUGCCUGCAUGAGGUGCAAUAUUAAUGCAAUCAGCCUUUAGUUCUAUGGUAUAACCCAUAGAAAUAUAAAAAAGUGGUAAAAUGGCAGUUAGUUGUAACGGGGUGUGCUGCUGCGACCUGGAUUAUUUUUUUGU